UGGGAACAUUUUUGGUGAGUUUGUUUGUGUCAAAGUCAGAGAGCCGUGUCUCUCUACAGUGAGAGGUUUUUGUACAGCGGCUCAAUGAGUUUGUAUCACUGUGGGUGACUUUUGGUGGAGGAACCAGACUGGAUGUUGGAAGUGAUGUCCGUCCCACCCUGAUGGUGCUGCCCCCCUCCAGUGAGGAGCUGCAGCAGGGGAAGGCCACGCUCAUGUGUCUGGCCAACAAGGGCUUCCCCUCAGACUGGAGUCUGGCCUGGAAGGUGGACGGCAGCAGCAGCAGCAGCAGCUGGGAGGAGAGCAGGAGCCCUGGGGUGCUGGAGAAGGACGGCCUCUACAGCUGGAGCAGCACCCUGAGGCUCCCUGCUGACCAGUGGAGGAGGUUGGGAUCUGUGACCUGUGAGGCCACCCAGGGCUCCCAGACUCCACUCUCAGAGACACUGAGGAGAGACCAGUGUUCCCAGUCCUGACCUGACUCACUGGGACUCUGCUGCUGGUUUUACUCUGCUACUGCUCUCAGUCUGCUCUCUGUCUUUCUAUCAUGUGACCAGUUUAACAGCUCUCACCUUGAAACAGCAAUGUUUUUAUUCUUGUCAUGAUGCUUAUGCUGUUAAUGCUGUAUAAUAAAACAUAAGCAAAUAAAAAACA